rfam:Methanosarcina acetivorans str. C2A, complete genome.
UGCCCUUUCCAUUUGGGGUAACCCUACCAGAAUGUGCGUCAUCAGUAAUGAUGGGGUGCAAAGCUUCUGGGACAAUGUGAGAAC